CGGGACGAGUCAACGGAGGCCGGGUGGAUGAAGGCAUGCAGCUGAGUACAAUACAGAAAAGAACACAGGAGGAGUGCAGCUGCCCAGGACCAGAACAACCAGAGUAGCAUCAUCCACUAACCACUGGAACACAUCUCCAAAGUUCUGCCGGGCCAGCUCAGCUUCCCCUCAGAAGAAGUUCCACCAGAUGAAGGAGCCUUUUGAGAGGCAGCUGGCAUCGUGAUUGGACUGUACUUUGGUCUGUUCCAAUCCAGCUUCAGCUCCAGAGACGGCAGGCGGGACGAGUCAACGGAGGCCGGGCGGGACGAGUCAACGGAGGCCUGGUGGACGAAGGCAUGCAGCUGAGUACAAUACAGAAAAGAACACAGGAGGAGUGCAGCUGCCCAGGACCAGAACAACCAGAGUAGCAUCGUAUGUCUCUUAGAAAACAUCAUAGUAUAGCCUUUAGUAUGAAA
ensembl:lncRNA